rnacentral:rRNA from 1 species
CCAAGGAAGCAGCAGGCGCGCAAAUUACCCACUCCCGGCACGGGGAGGUAGUGACGAAAAAUAACGAUACGGGACUCAUCCGAGGCCCCGUAAUCGGAAUGAGUACACUUUAAAUCCUUUAACGAGGAUCCAUUGGAGGGCAAGUCUAGUGCCAGCAGCCGCGGUAAUUCUAGCUCCAAUAGCGUAUAUUAAAGUUGUUGCGGUUAAAAAGCUCGUAGUUGAAUCUGUGUGUCGCGCUGUCGGUUCACCGUUCGCCGGUGUUUAACUGACAUACCGCGACACGUCCUACCGGUGGACUUAGCCUACGACCAUCGUUCUCGAAAGAGGCGUUGGCACGGGGCGGUCCUGAUACAAUCCCAUCGCGGUGCUCUUUACCGAGUGUCGAGGUGGGCCGGUACGUUUACUUUGAACAAAUUAGAGUGCUUAAAGCAGGCUAUUUUUGCCUGAAUACUGUGUGCAUGGAAUAAUGGAAUAGGACCUCGGUUCUAUUUUGUUGGUUUUCGGAACACCGAGGUAAUGAUUAAUAGGGACAGAUGGGGGCAUUCGUAUUGCGACGUUAGAGGUGAAAUUCUUGGAUCGUCGCAAGACGGACAGAAGCGA